rnacentral:rRNA from 1 species
GGCUCAGGAUGAACGCUAGCUACAGGCUUAACACAUGCAAGUCGAGGGGCAGCAUAUCGAAAGCUUGCUUUUGUUGAUGGCGACCGGCGCACGGGUGAGUAACGCGUAUCCAACCUUCCCUAUAGUAGAGGAUAGCCCGGCGAAAGUCGGAUUAAUACUCUAUGUUAUUCAACGAGGACAUCUGAAAAGAAUCAAAGGUUUACCGCUAUAGGAUGGGGAUGCGUCUGAUUAGGUUGUUGGCGGGGUAACGGCCCACCAAGCCCACGAUCAGUAGGGGUUCUGAGAGGAAGGUCCCCCACAUUGGAACUGAGACACGGUCCAAACUCCUACGGGAGGCAGCAGUGAGGAAUAUUGGUCAAUGGACGGAAGUCUGAACCAGCCAAGUAGCGUGCAGGAUGACGGCCCUAUGGGUUGUAAACUGCUUUUAUACAGGGAUAAAGUGAGCCACGUGUGGUUUUUUGUAGGUACUGUAUGAAUAAGGACCGGCUAAUUCCGUGCCAGCAGCCGCGGUAAUACGGAAGGUCCGGGCGUUAUCCGGAUUUAUUGGGUUUAAAGGGAGCGCAGGCUGAUGAUUAAGCGUGACGUGAAAUGUAGCCGCUCAACGGCUGAACUGCGUCGCGAACUGGUUAUCUUGAGUGAGUUCGAUGUUGGCGGAAUUCGUGGUGUAGCGGUGAAAUGCUUAGAUAUCACGAAGAACUCCGAUUGCGAAGGCAGCCAACAAGGCCUACUGACGCUAAG